GAGGACUUAGCUUAAUUAAAGCGUCCGGUUUGCAUCCGGGAGAUGUGGGGUGUAGUCUUGCAGUCUUUA
rnacentral:tRNA from 1 species